rnacentral:rRNA from 1 species
UACGUAGGGCGCAAGCGUUAUCCGGAAUUAUUGGGCGUAAAGAGCUCGUAGGCGGUUUGUCGCGUCUGCCGUGAAAGUCCGGGGGCUCAACUCCGGAUCUGCGGUGGGUACGGGCAGACUAGAGUGAUGUAGGGGGAGACUGGAAUUCCUGGUGUAGCGGUGAAAUGCGCAGAUAUCAGGAGGAACACCGAUGGCGAAGGCAGGUCUCUGGGCAUUAACUGACGCUGAGGAGCGAAAGCAUGGGGAGCGAACAGG